GAUGAACGCUGGCGGCGUGCUUAACACAUGCAAGUCGAACGGUGAAGCAGGAGCUUGCUCCUGUGGAUCAGUGGCGAACGGGUGAGUAACACGUGAGCAAUCUGCCCUGGACUCUGGGGUAAGCGUUGGAAACGACGUCUAAUACCGGAUACGAGGCGUGGGGGCAUCCCCAACGCCUGGAAAGAACUUCGGUCCAGGAUGAGCUCGCGGCCUAUCAGGUAGUUGGUGAGGUAACGGCUCACCAAGCCGACGACGGGUAGCCGGCCUGAGAGGGUGACCGGCCACACUGGGACUGAGACACGGCCCAGACUCCUACGGGAGGCAGCAGUGGGGAAUAUUGCACAAUGGGCGCAAGCCUGAUGCAGCAACGCCGCGUGAGGGACGACGGCCUCCGGGUUGUAAACCUCUUUUAGCAGGGAAGAAGCGAAAGUGACGGUACCUGCAGAAAAAGCACCGGCUAACUACGUGCCAGCCGCCGCUGUAAGAC
rnacentral:rRNA from 1 species